rnacentral:rRNA from 1 species
GUGUCAGCCGCCGCGGUAAUACGGAGGGGGCGAGCGUUAUUCGGAAUUAUUGGGCGUAAAGGGCGCGUAGGCGGCUUGGUAAGUCAAAGGUGAAAUCCCUCGGCUCAACCGAGGAAUUGCCUUUGAAACUGCCUGGCUUGAGGCCGGGAGGGGGUAGCGGAAUUCCCAGUGUAGCGGUGAAAUGCGUAGAUACUGGGAGGAACACCGGUGGCGAAGGCGGCUACCUGGACCGGUUCUGACGCUGAUGCGCGAAAGCGUGGGGAGCAAACAGGAUUAGAAACCCGCGUAGUCC